rnacentral:lncRNA from 1 species
AUGACAAGACAAACUGGAAACACUCUGAUACGACAAGACAAACUGGAAACACUGGUACGACAAGGCAAACUGGAAACACUCUGUUACGACAAGACAAACUGGAAACACUCUGGUACGACAAGACAAACUGGAAACACUCUGGUACGACAAGACAAAUGGGAAACACUCUGGUCCGACAAGACAAAACUGGAAACACUCUGGUACGAUAAGACAAACUGGAAACACUGAUACGAUAAGACAAACUGGAAACACUCUGGUACGACAAGACAAACUGGAAACACCGAUACGAUAAGACAAAACUGGAAACACUCUGGUACGACAAGACAAGACAAACUGGAAACACUCUGAUACGACAAGACAAACUGGAAACACUCUGGUACGAUAAGACAAACUGGAAACACUGUACGAUAAGACAAACUGGAAACACUCUGGUACGACAAGACAAACUGGAAACACUCUGGUACGACAACAAACUGGAAACUCUGGUACGACACGACAAACUGGAGACACUCUGGUACGACACGACAAACUGGAGACACUGAUACGACAAGACAAACUGGGAAACACUCUGAUACGACAAGACAAACUGGAAACACUCUGAUACGACAAGACAAACUGGAAACACUCUGAUACGACAAGACAAACUGGAAACACUCUGAUACGACAAGACAAACUGGAACACUCUGGUACACAAGACAAAACUGGAAACACUCUGGUACGACAAGACAAACUGGAAACACCGAUACGAUAAGACAAACUGGAAACACUCUGGUACGACAAGACAAGACAAACUGGAAACACUCUGAUACGACAAGACAACUGGAAACACUCUGUACGAUAAGACAAACUGGAACUGAUACGAUAAGACAACUGGAAACACUCUGGUACGACAAGACAAACUGGAAACACUCUGGUACGACAAGACAAACUGGAAAACACUCUGGUACGACACGACAAACUGGAGACACUCUGGUACGACACGACAAACUGGAGACACUGAUACGACAAGACAAACUGGAAACACUCUGAUACGACAAGACAAACUGGAACACUCUGGUACGACCGACAAACUGGAAACACUCUGAUACGACAAGACAAACUGGAGACACUGAUACGACAAGACAAACUGGAAACACUCUGAUACUACAAGACAAAUGGAAAACACUCUGAUACGACAAGACAAACUGGAACACUCUGGUACGACAAGACAACUGGAAACACUCUGAUACGACAACCAAACUGGAACACUCUGAUACGACAAGACAAACUGGAGACACUGAUACGACAAGACAAACUGGAA